rnacentral:rRNA from 1 species
UAGGGAAUCUUCCACAAUGGACGCAAGUCUGAUGGAGCAACGCCGCGUGAGUGAAGAAGGUUUUCGGACCGUAAAGCUCUGUUGUUGGUGAAGAAGGAUAGAGGUAGUAACUGGCCUUUAUUUGACGGUAAUCAACCAGAAAGUCACGGCUAACUACGUGCCAGCAGCCGCGGUAAAUCGUAGGUGGCAAGCGUUGUCCGGAUUAUUGGGCGUAAAGCGAGCGCAGGCGGAAGAAUAAGUCUGAUGUGAAAGCCCUCGGCUUAACCGAGGAAUUGCAUCGGAAACUGUUUUCUGAGUGCAGAAGAGGAGAGUAGAACUCCAUGUGUAGCGGUGGAAUGCGUAGAUAUAUGGAAGAAUACCAGUGGCGAAGGCGGCUCUCUGGUCUGCAACUGACGCUGAGGCUCGAAAGCAUGGGUAGCGAACAGGAUUAGAUACCCC